rnacentral:piRNA from 1 species
UGAAAAGCAGUGGUAGGUCUAGAAGGGUC